rnacentral:rRNA from 1 species
GUGCAGCAGUCGCGAAAACUCUGCAAUACGCGAAAGCGUGACAGGGCUACCCCGAGUGUCGUCCGCUGAGGACGACUUUUCCACGCUGUAAGGAGGCGUAGGAAUAAGGAGAGGGCAAGUCUGGUGUCAGCCGCCGCGGUAAUACCAGCUCUCCGAGUGGUAGGGACGUUUAUUGGGCUUAAAGCGUCCGUAGCCGGCUCAACAAGUCUCCCGUUAAAUCCAACGAUUCAAUCGUUGGACUGCGGGAGAUACUGUUAGGCUAGGGGGCGGGAGAAGCCGACGGUAUUUCCGGGGUAGGGGUAAAAUCCUAUAAUCCCGGGAGGACCACCAGUGGCGAAGGCGGCCGACUAAAACGCGGCCGACGGUGAGGGACGAAAGCUGGGGUAGCGAACCGGAUUAGAUACCCCGGUAGUCC